rnacentral:tRNA from 1 species
GCCUGGCUGGCUCGGUUGGUACAGCAUGUGACUCUUGAUCUCAGGGUUGUGAGUUCAAGCCCCACGUUGGGCU